UUAGAAUUCAUAUUUCAUACUAAUGUACUUAUGAAAAACUUUGUAUUAAUUGUUCAAAGCUUUGAUUAGGUAUUGAAUAUGAAAAAGUAUUAUCAGAAUUAUACAAUAAAAAUUUCGAUUUACUGAUACAAAAAGAAAAUGGAUUGCUUGAUUUGAAGAAUCAAAUAUAAAAGAAUUUAAUGCCACACAUAAUAUAUCUAAGGAGAAACAGGAACUAGAUUGUUAUAUAAAAGAAUAUGAUUUGCUGAAAGCCAAAAAUAUGCGACGGACACGGAGCGAAGACCGAAGACGAGCACGUGGACACUGGGAUGCGGCCGGCCGAGGCCCACUCGUCGUCGAAGAGCUGGGAUACGGGAGAUCUGGACUGCAGGAUGUCUAUACUGUUCCGGAGGUCAGGAACAGCAGAUAUAGACGCAUAUCCACGCCGUGAACGUACGUGACGCCGCUACGUAUCCACGGCGUGGAUGGGUUAUUAAACAGGCCGGGCGUCUGUUUUGCUGCUGCGAACGCCGGUUUGAAUAACGGCCAUCAGAAUCUCGUCCCCGCACCUCGGCCGAAGAACACCAGACAAGACGGCGGCAAAACGGGGAGUGGUACGUGAAAGAGCACAUUGUAUUCCGGCGGUAAGUCACCCUAUGCGUUCUCUGCAGGUCACCUCCACGGAACGACGAGAUGGCGGUCGACGGCGUUGCAAGCUCGCGGCGGUUGCCGACACUCGACUACUCGGGAUCAUCGGCGAGCGCCGGCGGAGCGAUGGAGCUAUAUAUUUGUGCUAGGAACACGGACGUCAGCAUCGCACGUGGACCCGCGGAAACCAUUCCAACGUUUCAGGGUCCUGUGGUGCGCGAAUCCUCGGCGCGGCGACGGCCAAGUCCGGCGUGCAGCCUGCAGGACGAAAACCGCGGGGAGUAUCAGGUAUAUCAGGUCCCGCGCGCUGAUUCUCUCGGGUUUUCGUGAGUCUUACGCUAUGUCCUAAGUGACCGCGGCAAACGCGGUGAAAAACAAAACAGCUUGAUUUUUGCCGCGUUUGGAACAGCAUGGUCAGAAUAUAACUCGCCCGCACUCUCCGCGUUCACGUAGGACAUGGCGUUACGCCUCCGGUCGUCGCCGAUUCCACAAGCACAAAUAUAUAGCUAUCUUCGCUCGCUCAGUGUUUUUGGUCUGCGCCGCCGUUGGCGCCAUACGGUCUCGGUCUUCGCUCUUCAGCACUUGCACACCGUCGUCGAUGCGUACUAGCCGCUCGCCGCCAACCGUGCCGUCGCGGUAGGACCUCGCCCUCCGUCACGAUGGUCGUCACCAGCGAGCAAACGUCAUCGACUGCACUCGUCCGCCCGCCGUGGGACAGACCGGGAGAACGUAUAGAGAUGACCAGUUGCCCCUUAAACACUUCGUCAUCAAGCACCAUUUCCCCCAUGAUUAUUGUGCCUCGUCUGGUGUUAUUUUUUUUUCUUUAUUAAUUAUUGUUCUAUUGACAUUUUGUCAUUUUCUGUAAAAAUUUCACAGUUCAAAAUUUAAAAUUGAUAUACAUUUAAUUACAUUUUGAUUCUGAGCGGAGCGAUGAAUGUAUUGGUUUUACAAUGAUGCGAGUUUAAUUUUUAAAAAUUUUUUUUUUGUGUUUUGUACACGAUUAAUAAUCGAAAUGAGGCUCUGAAAAAAACCGGUAUUUUGGAAGUUUUCAUACAUUAAUUUAUUAAUUGUUAUAAGUUAAAAUAUAAAUUUUAUACUGUCGUAGUGCAACUCAGCAACUGUUAGAACAUGUUAUAUGUGUUAACUAUUUUAAUUGUAUCGAAAUAACUUAAAAUCACAAUUGUUAUCAGGAUUUAUUACUCAGCUUAAUAUAAUAUUUUAAAGACGUAUAAGAUCUCAUUACAAAAUAUCAACGUACCUGAUUCGACACUUCGACAUUAGUACAUUACUCCAGGUAACUAGGUCUGUGGUCUUUUCUCUAUGUACCCUACUUAUAUGAUAAUCUUUAUUCUUCAACCAUUUUUUUGUGCUUUAACCACGAAUAAUAAUACCUACUUAUAUAUUAAAUUAUUUAAGUAUAUUAUCUUAUUUCGCAGUGUCAACGCAGGCCGCAGGUGUAAUGCCAUAUACGGAUUUGAAUUUCAAAAUUAUUCAGUAUACAUAUUAUCAUUAAGUAUUUAAUUAAUUUUGUAAACCAUUUUGCACACCUACAGGCUACAGCUGCACGUGUGAAAUGAUCAUGAUCAUGCAGCGCCGCGAAACGUUACCACAGCACUCCCAGUGACCAAUAAUAUUCAAAUCGUAUUUAACUAGUACCUACAACAGUACUUCCUAGUUCCUACUUGGCUAUGUCCUACGUUACAUUAUAUAGGUACAAGGUACUUAUUUUUAUUAUAAUUUUGUGCAUCCAAGAUCCAAAAAAAACAAUUGUGUACUUACAUUAUCGUGAACAUGAUACAGUAUAAAAACGAUUUUCCCGCAUGCCCGUGCUGUGGUAAUAUAUAGUUGAUUUAGCU